AGUGAACGCUGGCGGUAGGCCUAACACAUGCAAGUCGAACGGCAGCACAGUAAGAGCUUGCUCUUACGGGUGGCGAGUGGCGGACGGGUGAGGAAUACAUCGGAAUCUACUUUUUCGUGGGGGAUAACGUAGGGAAACUUACGCUAAUACCGCAUACGACCUACGGGUGAAAGCAGGGGAUCUUCGGACCUUGCGCGAUUGAAUGAGCCGAUGUCGGAUUAGCUAGUUGGCGGGGUAAAGGCCCACCAAGGCGACGAUCCGUAGCUGGUCUGAGCGGAUGAUCAGCCACACUGGAACUGAGACACGGUCCAGACUCCUACGGGAGGCAGCAGUGGGGAAUAUUGGACAAUGGGCGCAAGCCUGAUCCAGCCAUACCGCGUGGGUGAAGAAGGCCUUCGGGUUGUAAAGCCCUUUUGUUGGGAAAGAAAAGCAGCAGGUUAAUACCCCGCUGUUCUGACGGUACCCAAAGAAUAAGCACCGGCUAACUUCGU
rnacentral:rRNA from 1 species